UCCGUAGGUGAACCUGCGGAAGGAUCAUUACCGAGUGAGGACCCUCUGGGUCCAACCUCCCACCCGUGUUUAUUUUACCUUGUUGCUUCGGCGGGCCCGCCUUAACUGGCCGCCGGGGGGCUUACGCCCCCGGGCCCGCGCCCGCCGAAGACACCCUCGAACUCUGUCUGAAGAUUGUAGUCUGAGUGAAAAUAUAAAUUAUUUAAAACUUUCAACAACGGAUCUCUUGGUUCCGGCAUCGAUGAAGAACGCAGCGAAAUGCGAUACGUAAUGUGAAUUGCAAAUUCAGUGAAUCAUCGAGUCUUUGAACGCACAUUGCGCCCCCUGGUAUUCCGGGGGGCAUGCCUGUCCGAGCGUCAUUGCUGCCCUCAAGCACGGCUUGUGUGUUGGGCCCCGUCCUCCGAUCCCGGGGGACGGGCCCGAAAGGCAGCGGCGGCACCGCGUCCGGUCCUCGAGCGUAUGGGGCUUUGUCACCCGCUCUGUAGGCCCGGCCGGCGCUUGCCGAUCAACCCAAAUUUUUAUCCAGGUUGACCUCGGAUCAGGUAGGGAUACCCGCUGAACUUAAGCAUAUCAAUAAGCGGAGGAA
rnacentral:rRNA from 1 species